GACGAAGGGGGCUAGCGUUGUUCGGAAUUACUGGGCGUAAAGCGCGCGUAGGCGGUCUUUCAAGUCAGGAGUGAAAGCCCCGGGCUCAACCCGGGAAUAGCUCUUGAUACUGUUGGACUUGAGUCCGGGAGAGGAUAGUGGAAUUCCCAGUGUAGAGGUGAAAUUCGUAGAUAUUGGGAAGAACACCAGUGGCGAAGGCGGCCGGCUGGGGGCGCCCUGACGCUGAGGCGCGAGAGCGUGGGGAGCAAACCGG
rnacentral:rRNA from 1 species